rnacentral:pre_miRNA from 1 species
AAACUACUCCCUCCGUCUGAAAUUAUUUGUCGGAGAAAUUGAUGUAUCUAGACGUAUUUUAGUUUUAGAUACACUCAUUUUUCAUUCAUUUCCGCGACAAGAAAUUUCGAAAAGGGGAAGUAUAAG